CGUUUAACAACUAGCAUACUAAUAAAAUUAAAAACUAAGUAUAACUAAUUUGUAAUAAACUAUGUGAAAUUAAACAAAUCAUUUUUUAACCUAAGUAUGGGAGACAGAAAAG
rnacentral:rRNA from 1 species